rnacentral:lncRNA from 1 species
AGGCGCUCCCUGCGGCGGUAACGGCAGCGAUAGGGGCACGGGGCUACCUGCGCCCCGCGGCGCCUCACGUGACGCUGCGUGACGUCACGACAGCGCCGCCGCCUCUCGCGUGCUUUCCCGUGAAGUCCCAGGGGGCGCGGAGGGCGGGAAGGAAAGGAGUCGGCCAAUGGGAGAGCGAGGGGGCGGGGCCUCCGGGCAGGGCGGGGCCGCGGCGCUGAGGGGCGGGGCGGGAGCGGGACGGGGGCGGGAGGGGCGGUGCUUCAGCCGGGGCUGAGGGCCUGAAGAGCGGAGCAUGCGUUUGAAAGUUUGCAGCGUGGUUGCUUGGCUCAUGCUGGAGGAUGCUGGGGCCAGCUGGAGUCCACCACGUGCUCCGCGCAGGGGCAGGCCCAGGCUCUCCAGGCGGCCGGGAGCGUGGAGGAUCGGCUGCCACCCGUGUUCCAGGGGAGGGAGCAGAGAAAAGUGAACAACAACUUCCCAUUUUCUUCCCAUGACAACACACACUUUCUACAGAAUGUAGGAGAGGAUUUUAAUUUUGGUAUGGGCCGAAGGAAGGUGGAACCACAGAGAGGGCAGCAGAAUCAUAAGAAUCACAGAAUUGCUCAGCCCCUUCAACUUCAGGAUCAAUGGUAUCACUACCUCAUGCAGCUGACAGCGUCUGUGUUGACAGAAGCAUAUAAUGGAACAGAGUCUUUGAAGGUUCACCACAGCAGGGAACAAAACCAGCAUGUUCAGAUCUGAGAAAUGCUGCUCUCACUUGGACUACAUGGCCUUCUGCAUGCAGAAGCAGAGCCCACUACUGCUUAUCUGUUCGAUGAGCACACCCAGAGAUGGAGACACGGAGAUGGCCUGGAACCAUGGUGGAUAGUAGCACCUGAUGUUCCCUAUUGCUUUCCUGUAGCCUCUAAGAAGCACAUAGGCAUCUUCUCGUGAAAAGGAAACCCACUGGUGAUCUAGUAAAUAUAAAAACCACCUCUUCCUCAAGAAAAGCUUCAUUUGCAAAUAGCCUGGAAAUGGGAUUACUGGUCUGACCACCCUAGAAGAGAGGACACCGCCCAGGUUAGAGCUGGGGUGAGGCUAUUCUUAUGUUAAACUUCAGCAGAUUGGAUUACUCUCUAGGGGCACUUAAAUUUUGUAUAUAGCCACCGGGAAGAAGGAAAUGCGUCCAUAAAAUGGAUUGGAUUGAUCUCUGUGAUUCUUCAGCUUUUCUGUUAACUACCUUAAAGAUGAGGCCAUUCCAUGAGAUGAACCUCCCUGCCCCUGCUCACUGCCCCUGGCUGCAGGUACCCGAAGCCUCUGUCAGACAGCGACUGAGAUGGGUGGUCAGAGGGACUGUCAGAUGAUCCCCUUCAGAAUAAUCAUUUCAGACACUCCCAGCCAUGUUAGGAAUACGAUCUGUACUACGCCUGGAAAAUUGGACCCUUUCCUUUUUUUUUGGCAGGUUUAUUU